GUUGAAUAUAUGCUUUUAUAUGGUCUGUAGCUCUGUCUUACAACAAGUCAAAUAAAUAUUUGUGCAAACUGGAAGUGGGAACUCUUUCCCCAAUGAUUUCCUAAGGCUGAGGUAUUUUGUCAGUUAUUCCAUACCAAGAUGAGGCUGAAUGCCAAGAACACCACACAACUGCAAUACAACUACUUAAUCUCAUUGGUAUAUGACUGUUCAGUCUGUUGAAUAUUCCAUCAAUGAAAAUAUGGAUUUAUUGUCUGGACAAAGGUUUUAUUUAAAUGGACACACACUAUAACGCAAGUUUAGAAAAUAAAGUAAUUAACAGGAAAAGUAAUUUACUACAUUAAUUAUACUCAGAGCCUCUCCCCUUCAUUUGCUUAACUAGGGGACUGGGAUGGAGAAAUGGCUUACAAUAGCCAGGGUGUGGCUCAACAGGUGGAAUACGUCCCAAAGCCCUCGGGUUGAGGGUUCGAUUCCUACGGGGGACCAGUACAAAAAUGUACGCACUCAUUACUGUUAGUUGCUCUGGAUAAGAGUGUCUACAAAAAUGUCAAAUGUAUACGGAAUGGGAUGCCAUUUGGGACACAGACACAUUCCAUCUGUUGAAGAAGCCACCUGAAAUCAAUGGCUGCAUACUAAUUGUCCAUUCCUCUCCUCAUGGAUAUGCAAGCACUGGAUAGGUGUAAGCUACUUCACAUCAAAGUUAUAUAUCCCUAAAAUGUGCAAUGGGGUGGUUAAGAGCAUUGGGCCAGUCAUCAAAAGGUUACUGGUUUGAAUCCCCUAGGUGACAAAUCUGUCAAAUGUGCUCUUAAACAAGGCACUUAACCCUAAUUGCUCUGGAUAAGAGUGUCUGCUAAAUGACUAAAAAGUCCACACUUAGGAAGGACAAUGGAUAUGCAGCCAAUGUUAAUGGUUACAUACCUUAGUCAUUAGUAAAAAAAAAAAAAAAAAGGGGGGGUUUCUAUAAAAGGGCAUAUAAUUGACAAGUUGUUGCAGUAGUAAGGCAAUGGAUCCAGAGCUGUAUAUGUUAAUUAUGGACUUUAAGGUAACAGGCAGGAAAAGGCGGUCCAAUCGCCUCAGGCCCUUCGGAAGGGGAGAAUAUAAGGGUUAGUCAAAUCAAAUUUGCUUACAAGCCCUUAACACUUCUUUUUCUUAAAACUGUAUUGUUGUUUAAGUAAAAGUGAGAGCAUGACUAAGAGCAUAGUACACCACAUGCACUGGGAGUAGAGAAUAAUUAAUAGUGUUGCUGUGGACACUGGAUAAUCUCACACACACACACACCUGUUUGACAUUGCCGAGUCAAUUCAGGUAGCCCGUCUGGUGUUCAACCUUCCCAAGUUCUCUCACGUCACCCCACUCCUCCGCUCUCUCCACUGGCUUCCAGUCGAAGCUCGCAUCCGCUACAAGACCAUGGUGCUUGCCUACGGAGCUGUGAGGGGAACGGCACCUCCGUACCUUCAGGCUCUGAUCAGGCCCUACACCCAAACAAGGGCACUCCGUUCAUCCACCUCUGGCCUGCUCGCCUCCCUACCUCUGAGGAAGCACAGUUCCCGCUCAGCCCAGUCAAAACUGUUCGCUGCUCUGGCACCCCAAUGGUGGAACAAGCUCCCUCACGACGCCAGGACAGCGGAGUCAAUCACCACCUUCCGGAGACACCUGAAACCCCACCUCUUCAAGGAAUACCUGGGAUAGGAUAAAGUAAUCCUUCUAACCCCCCCCUUAAAAGAUUUAGAUGCACUAUUGUAAAGUGGUUGUUCCACUGGAUAUUAUAGGUGAAUGCACCAAUUUGUAAGUCGCUCUGGAUAAGAGCGUCUGCUAAAUGACUAAAAUGUAAAAUGUAAUGUCAUGCGUGUGUGUUAACCAUAGCAGCCAACAUUAUAAUAAAGAGAUGUGCAGAAAGAUUAUCAGCCUCUGGUGUCUGUGGAUCCUUUCCCCUUAAUGUAUUUUUCAUGUCAGCCAGUCACACCUUUGAAAAUAAACACCAUUUAAUUACAUCUCUAGUUGAGUAAAAUUAGUUUUUUUCUGGUCACAAAAUAAUCCAGAAAAUAGCGGUAAACAGCGCCACACUCGGGCAGAAAACGGAAUGUUCUAUUCCCAGCCAGGCCCAUCUUUUCAAAGAAAACACAAUUGAAUUAUAUCUAUAUUUCAGCAAAAUAAGUAGUUCUUUGUGAUUAAAAGAAAAUGUUAACAAUUCAGGUAAAGAGCCACAGUAAAGCAGAAAAUAUAGGAAUGUUCUAUCAUAAAUUGAGAGAAAGAAAAUCCCUUGUUGACAUGGCUGCUAGUACUUAGAAAUACUAUAACAGUAAAUGAAUAGAUGACAUUCACUACUAUAAACCUGUUUCGAAUAUAAUCGCAUAGUUUACACAGACCCACCGCGGUCCCAUGUGAAAAGGAGUCCCAUGCCCUGGUCUGUUUUGUCAAUUUACUCAAAGUAUCUCGCCACACCGGUAUACAAAUCAUUAGUCCAGGUAAAGUCCCACUCACCUGUCUCGGGUCUUAAUUAAAGGACAUGGUUCUCCAAUCCUAGAUAGCUUCGGUUAGAGGGGUUUUAAAGGAGGAUACAAGGAAAGAAGGAGAAAAUAACAAGGAAGGGAGACAGUUUUGCAUUAAAGAAGUGACAAAUGAUCACUUUACUAACUAACCCAAACAACAAUAUACAUAUCCGUUUACAGGCUACUUACCACAUGACUUGAAUUUGACAACAUUUUGAGGGACCAGACGAUCCGCUGCCUUGGUCUUGUUAGCAGGCGCGAGGUAAGCAAAAUAGGUAACUAGUAGGGCAGCUAAAUAGCUCGCGCAUGUGACAGACACAUAUUUCAAUAUUGACACAUCAUCGGUUGGUCUUUCUUAACUAGGUUAGACAUUGAUAGUGAAGUUUAUAUAUUGGUUUCAUUAGCUAGAAACAGCUGAAAUAGUAGGCUAGUCUGAAGGGGCUGUUCAUUCCAACACGGCUCCCUUGGAUUCGCCUUGUUAGCAGCACAUUCAUUCACCACUCUGUCCAACGAGAAACUCUGCCCGUGACAUAGGCCGAGAGGUAAAACAAACUUCCUCAGCCCAGACCUACAGUGAGAGUAGUGAGAUAGAAAGUGAUGAGUCAGGCUGCAAUGAAGGAGGCAAAGGAGAUACACAGAG
rnacentral:lncRNA from 1 species